rnacentral:rRNA from 1 species
AUUGAACGCUGGCGGCAGGCCUAACACAUGCAAGUCGAACGGUAACAGGAAGCAGCUUGCUGCUUUGCUGACGAGUGGCGGACGGGUGAGUAAUGUCUGGGAAACUGCCCGAUGGAGGGGGAUAACUACUGGAAACGGUAGCUAAUACCGCAUAACGUCGCAAGACCAAAGAGGGGGACCUUAGGGCCUCUUGCCAUCGGAUGUGCCCAGAUGGGAUUAGCUAGUAGGUGGGGUAACGGCUCACCUAGGCGACGAUCCCUAGCUGGUCUGAGAGGAUGACCAGCCACACUGGAACUGAGACACGGUCCAGACUCCUACGGGAGGCAGCAGUGGGGAAUAUUGCACAAUGGGCGCAAGCCUGAUGCAGCCAUGCCGCGUGUAUGAAGAAGGCCUUCGGGUUGUAAAGUACUUUCAGCGGGGAGGAAGGGAGUAAAGUUAAUACCUUUACUCAUUGACGUUACCCGCAGAAGAAGCACCGGCUAACUCCGUG